rnacentral:rRNA from 1 species
CCUAGGGGAGGCAGCAGUGGGGAAUAUUGCACAAUGGGCGCAAGCCUGAUGCAGCCAUGCCGCGUGUAUGAAGAAGGCCUUCGGGUUGUAAAGUACUUUCAGCGGGGAGGAAGGUGUUGAGGCUAAUAACCUCAGCAAUUGACGUUACCCGCAGAAGAAGCACCGGCUAACUCCGUGCCAGCAGCCGCGGUAAU